GGUCUCCUCAACACUGCUCCAGAUUGUACGUGAUCUGCAAGGGGCAGACAAAUAUCUAGAUCCCAGACCCCUUGGUGGGAGCUGCACGUCAAGGGAAGACAAGAAAUUCGCUGAGAACAUGUCUUCAGGGCCCUACAGUUAUUUGAGCUCUAGGCGUCCAUCCCUGUCAAAGUCUGCCUAAGCAGUGGGAAGACUUCUUUUCAACAGGAGAGAACACUAAAGAGCUGAACCCUUUAGAGAUGUGCGCUUUUCAGCAAGAAGCUCCUGGCCAUGUUGUAUCUUCUCGGACUAUAGCAAUAUUCACUGAACUCACCAUGACAUGUGUGGUUCAUGCUGUGGGAGAACAGACAUGGAAGAGGGUGCAGUGGUGGCAAAAUUACAGGCCUCAGAGUCCAGACUGAAGAGCAUCCUAGCAGAGUGCCAAGUGCAUGCGCCUAAGACUCGGAUGGAACUGAGCCUAAAUCCUCGCUGAGCACUGUUUGUUUUUGGGAGAUGAAGGGGAUUACUUAAUCUCCCUAAACUUCGGCUUCUCAUCCACAGGAUAGGAAUGAUUGUGCCUACUUCACAG
rnacentral:lncRNA from 1 species